GCUUAGAGAGGGGUCAAUGUCCUAUCAGCUAGUUGGUAGGGUAAUGGCCUACCAAGGCUAAGACGGGUAGCCGGCCUGAGAGGGUGGUCGGCCACACUGGGACUGAGACACUGCCCAGACUCCUACGGGAGGCUGCAGUCGAGAAUCUUUCGCAAUGCCCGAAAGGGUGACGAAGCGACGCCGCGUGUGGGAAGAAGGCCUUCGGGUUGUAAACCACUGUCGGGAGUUAAGAAAUGCAAGGGUGUUAAUAGCAUCCUUGCUUGACUAAGGCUCCGGAGGAAGCCACGGCUAACUCUGUGCCAGCAGCCGCGGUAAUACAGAGGCGGCAAGCGUUGUUCGGAAUUAUUGGGCGUAAAGAGCACGUAGGCGGCUUUGUAAGUCAGUUGUGAAAGCCUUCUGCUCAACGGAAGAACAGCAUCUGAUACUGCAAGGCUAGAGUGCGGAAGGA
rnacentral:rRNA from 1 species